ACGGGUGCGUAACGCGUAUGCAAUCUGCCUUUCACAGAGGGAUAGCCCAGAGAAAUUUGGAUUAAUACCUCAUAGUAUUAUGACUCGGCAUCGAGAUAUAAUUAAAGUCACAACGGUGAAAGAUGAGCAUGCGUCCCAUUAGCUAGUUGGUAAGGUAACGGCUUACCAAGGCAACGAUGGGUAGGGGUCCUGAGAGGGAGAUCCCCCACACUGGUACUGAGACACGGACCAGACUCCUACGGGAGGCAGCAGUGAGGAAUAUUGGACAAUGGGCGCAAGCCUGAUCCAGCCAUGCCGCGUGCAGGAUGACGGUCCUAUGGAUUGUAAACUGCUUUUGUACGAGAAGAAACACUGAUUCGUGAAUCAGCUUGACGGUAUCGUAAGAAUAAGGAUCGGCUAACUCCGUGCCAGCAGCCGCGGUAAUACGGAGGAUCCAAGCGUUAUCCGGAAUCAUUGGGUUUAAAGGGUCCGUAGGCGGUUUAGUAAGUCAGUGGUGAAAGCCCAUCGCUCAACGGUGGAACGGCCAUUGAUACUGCUGAACUUGAAUUAUUAGGAAGUAACUAGAAUAUGUAGUGUAGCGGUGAAAUGCUUA
rnacentral:rRNA from 1 species